ACACAUCAUAUUAAGCAUAUUAAAAUACACCCAAUCCCUUUUUUUUAACUAUAAAAAUACUGCAGUAUUUUUUAUAAUUUUACUUUUGAAAUUUGGCCCAACAAUGAUUUCUCGGCAAUCACUGUGCAUAAUCAGGAAUUCUUGCAAUGAGAAAAAAACUCGCCUGUAAAUUGUUGUCAAAUGUGUAAAAAUCUUGUAACAAUCAAUGUAACGAUUAAUGAACAUGACAUCACAUGUCUUUGUAGACCUACUUCUUAGCAAGUGAGGUGCCUAUUCAUUUCAGUUUAGGUCUUUCACAUUUUUAGAUCUUGAACUCAAUCCCUAGAGAUAAACAGCCCUGGUUGCCAGGGUUUGAAUAGGUCAGAAGAGCACAAUGAUGACUUCACAGGGAUGCUUGAGGUUACCAUGGAAAUGCUGUCGGCUCCCCCUCCCCAAGUCAUCUUCACACAUCUUCAUGUGGGCGGCAGGCAUUUGCUUCCACUGUGGAGUUGACUCCAUCUCCCAAUAGGCCUCUUCUGGAAAUUCCCUCCCCAUGUUAGAUCUGGCAGAGCCACUGGGAGACAGAGCAGCAGAGGGGAGCUGAGUGACACUAGGUUGCUAUGACAGCCAGGAAUUUGCGAACCAAACCAGACCUGGAGAAGAAGUCUCUCCUUGGCCCAAAGAGUUUGCAGUUCCAAGUGGUUCUGCUCAUGGUUCCUGUUGUCUUCUUUGACACCUGCCAGAUGGAAGAACCUCUAAACCUGGGAUUUGGAAAUGUCCCAACAGAAAGGCUAUUUCCAAGCUGGCUGAAGCUUGGAAAUAAAUUCGACGGAAUUUAGGUGUGAUAGAAGGAACUUCUUGGCAAGAAAAGCUGGAAAAUAUUACAAUAGGUCCCAGAGAGAACCUCAUUAUCUUCUCGAAAAAAUUUCUAUAUUUGUUUAGUGUUCUGUGGUUUGCUAAGCACAUUCACAUAAAUUAUCUAAUUGGAUCUUCACAUCCGCCUGGUGAAGGAGUAAAAAUAGGUUUCAUAAUAUUUGACCAAAGACAAGGAAAAUGAAGUUCAAUAAGAACAAGAUCAAACAGCCAACAGGCAACAGAACUGAGAUUUGAAACUGGGUUUUCUGACUGUAAAUCUAGCUCUUUUAAUUCUAUUAUGAUAAUCCCCCAAAAUAUAAAAGAGAUCACAUCUGA
rnacentral:lncRNA from 1 species